GGGAAGCCCUUGAGGGAGA
rnacentral:miRNA from 1 species